AUGACAACCGCAUACAUUACAGACAACAACGGUGUCCCGUUACUAGCUGAUGCAACCCCAAAUAAGAUUGCAAAUCCUUUUGAUUAUGGAGCUGGAUUUAUUAAUCCAACUCAUGCAAGUGGUCCUGGACUUAUAUACGACAUCGAUGCUUCAGAUUACCAGAAAUUGUUCAACUGCAUGCUUGGGUCAGAUACAAACAGUAGUUGUAUAGCAACACAUAAAUCUUUGUUUGACCUAAAUCUCCCAUCAAUCGCCAUCCCAAAUCUCAAGUCAUCGGAAACAGUAUCAAGGACUGUCACCAAUGUGGGCCAAGUUGAUUCUGUGUAUAAAGCAUUUGUUGAGCCCCCUGCUGGAGUUGAUAUGCUGGUCAAACCUAUGGUGUUGGUGUUUGGCAAGGAUACAAGCUCACAGUCUUUCAAGGUGAGCUUCAAGGCAACACAAAAGAUCCAAGGCGAUUACUCAUUUGAUAAUUUGGUGUGGCACGACGGAGGCAGCCAUUGGGUACGAAUCCCGAUAGCGGUUCGUGUUGUUAUCGAUGAUCUCUAUUCAACCGUCUCCUAA
rnacentral:rRNA from 1 species